rnacentral:lncRNA from 1 species
GGCAAUAGAGAAAAGCGGCGGAGACUGGUAACAAAACAUACAGUAAGUCGACCUAGGACUUCAUUACCGAGUCCGGAGCCGAUUCCCUUAAAGAAACUCUCUAAGCGAACUUCUCCCCAUCAAUCAGAGUCUAGAACAGCGUCCAUGCCUGGUGAAGAGACAAGGGAAAAUAUGAAAACGGUAGGGGAACAGACAAACCUUGACCUAUCUAGUGAUAGUGAUACAUUGAACGAUUUGAAUCCUGGUAUUAGGCAAACUAGUUCCCCAAAAGGUGGUCAAAACAACGAACAAAAUGAAGCAAGCAGGUUAGGUAAUGGUGGCGAUGUUGUAGAACCGAAGUUACCCGGUGGAAGUGUGGGAAAGAAAGUAAAGCAGCUGAAAGCGUCUCGUAGAGUAAUUGUAAUAAGCCCAGAAGAUAUCCAUCAUGACAAGGGCGUGAGAAAGACCAUAAGAGCGGAGACACCACAAUCCUCGAAAGGGCAGGUUAAAU